rnacentral:rRNA from 1 species
CACGUAGGCACCAAGCGUUGUCCGGAUUUAUUGGGCGUAAAGAGCUCGUAGGCGGUUCGGUAAGUCGGGUGUGAAAACUCUGGGCUCAACCCAGAGCCGCCACCCGAUACUGCUGUGACUCGAGUGCGGUAGGGGAGCGGGGAAUUCCUGGUGUAGCGGUGAAAUGCGCAGAUAUCAGGAGGAACACCGGUGGCGAAGGCGGCAUCCUGGACCGACACUGACGCUGAGGAGCGAAAGCCAGGGGAGCAAACGGG